AUUAUGGAGAGUUUGAUCCUGGCUCAGAACGAACGCUGGCGGCGCGUUUUAAGCAUGCAAGUCGAACGGGAUUCAAAGUGCUUGCACUUUGAUGAGAGUGGCGAACGGGUGAGUAACACGUAAGUAAUCUGCCCGGAAGUUGGGGAUAGCCUGUGGAAACACAGGGUAAUACCGAAUAAUUCUUUUAAGUGGGAACUUAAAAGGGAAAGGAGCUAAGGCUUCGCUUUUGGAUGAGCUUGCGGUUCAUUAGCUAGUUGGUGGGGUAAAGGCCUACCAAGGCGACGAUGAAUAGCCGGCCUGAGAGGGUGACCGGCCACACUGGGACUGAGAUACGGCCCAGACUCCUACGGGAGGCAGCAGCUAAGAAUCUUCCGCAAUGGACGAAAGUCUGACGGAGCGACGCCGCGUGUAUGAAGAAGGCCUAACGGUUGUAAAGUACUUUUCUUGUGGAGGAAUAAUGAGUGUAGGGAAUGACACUCAGAUGACGUUAAACUUGGAAUAAGCCCCGGCUAAUUACGUGCCAGCAGCCGCGGUAACACGUAAGGGGCAAGCGUUGUUCGGAUUCAUUGGGCGUAAAGGGCAUGUAGGCGGCAUGGCAAGUCUGGUGUGAAAGAUCUCGGCUUAACCGAGGGGACGCACUGGAAACUGCUAAGCUAGAGUAUCGGAGGGGAAGUUAGAAUUCCUAGUGUAGGGGUGAAAUCUGUAGAUAUUAGGAAGAAUACCGGUGGCGAAGGCGAGCUUCUGGCCAGAUACUGACGCUGAUAUGCGAAAGCGUGGGGAGCGAACAGGAUUAGAUACCCUGGUAGUCCACGCUGUAAACGAUGUGCACUAGGUGUUGGGGAGAUAUCCUCAGUGCCGUAGCUAACGCGUUAAGUGCACCGCCUGGGGAGUAUGCUCGCAAGGGUGAAACUCAAAGGAAUUGACGGGGGCCCGCACAAGCGGUGGAGCAUGUGGUUUAAUUCGAUGAUACGCGAGAAACCUUACCAGGGCUUGACAUAUAUAGGAAUGUAAUGGAGACAUUGCAGCUGCUUGCAGUCUAUAUACAGGUGCUGCAUGGCUGUCGUCAGCUCGUGCUGUGAAGUGUUGGGUUAAGUCCCGCAACGAGCGCAACCCCUGUCAUCUGUUGCCAGCAUUAAGUUGGGGACUCAGAUGAUACUGCCGGUGACAAACCGGAGGAAGGUGGGGACGACGUCAAGUCAUCAUGGCCCUUAUGUCCUGGGCUACACACGUGCUACAAUGGCUGGUACAGAGCGCCGCGAAGCCGCGAGGUGGAGCAAAUCGCAGAAAGCCAGUCUCAGUACAGAUUGGAGUCUGAAACCCGACUCUAUGAAGUUGGAAUCGCUAGUAAUCGCGCAUCAGCAUGGCGCGGUGAAUACGUUCCCGGGCCUUGUACACACCGCCCGUCACACCACCCGAGUUGGGUGUACCCGAAGUCGUUAGUCUAACUUCGUGAGGACGACGCCGAAGGUAUGCUUGGUAAGGGGGGUGAAGUCGUAACAAGGUAGCCGUACUGGAAAGUGCGGCUGGAUCACCUCCUUU
rnacentral:rRNA from 1 species